rnacentral:sRNA from 1 species
UUGCAUUAUAGCCCGUGAGGAUGAGAACCUCCGGGGGCAAGAGGUUCGACUCGAGCGCAGCGAGAGAACGUUGCGCCAGCAACGGCCCGCAGGGCGAGGCACGCAGUGGCGAGUAAUCCUCUAUCACCGACCA